GGACGAUAAUGGCAAAACCAGCGAGAGCUGGCGACGCAAAGCCUCCGGUCCUGAGUGCUGUUUUGGGAUAGCGGGGUUACCGAA
rnacentral:ncRNA from 1 species